rnacentral:rRNA from 1 species
GGCGGCGUGCCUAAUACAUGCAAGUAGAACGCUGAAGAGAGGAGCUUGCUCUUCUUGGAUGAGUUGCGAACGGGUGAGUAACGCGUAGGUAACCUGCCUUGUAGCGGGGGAUAACUAUUGGAAACGAUAGCUAAUACCGCAUAACAAUGGAUGACACAUGUCAUUUAUUUGAAAGGGGCAAUUGCUCCACUACAAGAUGGACCUGCGUUGUAUUAGCUAGUAGGUGAGGUAAUGGCUCACCUAGGCGACGAUACAUAGCCGACCUGAGAGGGUGAUCGGCCACACUGGGACUGAGACACGGCCCAGACUCCUACGGGAGGCAGCAGUAGGGAAUCUUCGGCAAUGGGGGCAACCCUGACCGAGCAACGCCGCGUGAGUGAAGAAGGUUUUCGGAUCGUAAAGCUCUGUUGUAAGUCAAGAACGGGUGUGAGAGUGGAAAGUUCACACUGUGACGGUAGCUUACCAGAAAGGGACGGCUAACUACGUGCCAGCAGCCGCGGUAAUACGUAGGUCCCGAGCGUUGUCCGGAUUUAUUGGGCGUAAAGCGAGCGCAGGCGGUUUGAUAAGUCUGAAGUUAAAGGCUGUGGCUCAACCAUAGUUCGCUUUGGAAACUGUCAAACUUGAGUGCAGAAGGGGAGAGUGGAAUUCCAUGUGUAGCGGUGAAAUGCGUAGAUAUAUGGAGGAACACCGGUGGCGAAAGCGGCUCUCUGGUCUGUAACUGACGCUGAGGCUCGAAAGCGUGGGGAGCGAACAGGAUUAGAUACCCUGGUAGUCCACGCCGUAAACGAUGAGUGCUAGGUGUUGGAUCCUUUCCGGGAUUCAGUGCCGCAGCUAACGCAUUAAGCACUCCGCCUGGGGAGUACGACCGCAAGGUUGAAACUCAAAGGAAUUGACGGGGGCCCGCACAAGCGGUGGAGCAUGUGGUUUAAUUCGAAGCAACGCGAAGAACCUUACCAGGUCUUGACAUCCCGAUGCUAUUUCUAGAGAUAGAAAGUUACUUCGGUACAUCGGUGACAGGUGGUGCAUGGUUGUCGUCAGCUCGUGUCGUGAGAUGUUGGGUUAAGUCCCGCAACGAGCGCAACCCCUAUUGUUAGUUGCCAUCAUUCAGUUGGGCACUCUAGCGAGACUGCCGGUAAUAAACCGGAGGAAGGUGGGGAUGACGUCAAAUCAUCAUGCCCCUUAUGACCUGGGCUACACACGUGCUACAAUGGUUGGUACAACGAGUUGCGAGUCGGUGACGGCGAGCUAAUCUCUUAAAGCCAAUCUCAGUUCGGAUUGUAGGCUGCAACUCGCCUACAUGAAGUCGGAAUCGCUAGUAAUCGCGGAUCAGCACGCCGCGGUGAAUACGUUCCCGGGCCUUGUACACACCGCCCGUCACACCACGAGAGUUUGUAACACCCGAAGUCGGUGAGGUAACCUUUUGGAGCCAGCCGCCUAAGGUGGGACAGAUGAUUGGGGUGAAGUCGUAACAA